GACAUAUAGUGGAAUGAUUGGA
rnacentral:siRNA from 1 species